GGUAUUUCAGCAUUGCUGCAAAGGAGAACUACUUCUGCACUCCUCUCCCAGAAGUGCAGUCUCACUGGAGCUCAGAACAUCCGAGGAUACGCUGGGUUUUGCUUAAUUAUCCAUUCAGCAUGUGGAUUGAUAUGAUACAAGUCUAAGAGGAGCAAGUUUGUGCACUCCAUGGAGUUGUUACUGCAGAAAGAAAAAACACACUGAAGUUAACAAAGCUCCGUGAGAGGCAAGUUAGGUCAUUCAGUAAUGUUUUUUCCAAAGCAACUGCUCACAGCACAGAGGUCAGCAAUGGUCAAGGAAGCUACAAUUCUAUGCAGUACAGCAACCUUGUCAACUGAAUGCUUCAGGAGGACUAACACCCAAAGUUGUGCAUAGAACAAGUCAGAUGUUGGUAAUGAGAAGCAUGUUACAUACAAAUGCUUUUCAACAAGAUAAAAAAUGAUAAAAAACAAGAUAAAAACAUUCACUGGCAGCAUUCCUUCAGAGCCAAUGGCCAGUUCAAGAGAACCUCAUCCACAGAAGACUUCAGUAGCUGUUGCAGCUUCUUACUGAGAUCCCAGUUACCAGCUGACCCGUAUUCAGCCUACUCCCCAUAUACUGUCUUUGUCAAGACGUCUGCUGCCCAGGGACAUAUCAGGGGAUGCACUGUCACUUUACCUAUUGAGCACUGUCUGUAUGCUCAACGGCUUGAGAAGUUUUGUUCCCUUGUUGUGUUAUUUCAGCAAUUCAUCACUGGAACACAGGAGGGAACAGUAGAGCUCCCUUUAGGGAACCCAUACAUUAACCCGUGCAUGCUGGAAAUACUGUUGCAGGCAAGUAAUGUGCCCAGGUGAUGUUUUUCUCUAGGAGAGCUACAGAGGGUUUCUUUCGCAGGGUUAAUGUUAUCCCACUUUUCUUUCUCCCCACAAAGCUUUUCACAUACUGCUGCAGCUCACUUGCCUUCCAGCAGAGCAGGCAGGACCACCACCCUGGUGUCAGCUUGAGCACAGUGAUGGAACCACUCAGCUGAACUAAUAUUUGCCUGCCCUAUCCAAUACACCAUUUACAAAACAGAGAGCAGUCUAACAGCUCAAUGUGUCACCACAUUAGCUCUACUAGAGGGCAGAAAAUACAGUCAUUACAUCACCUGAUACUUAUAUGUUUUUAAUAAGCAGAGAAAAAGCC